rnacentral:rRNA from 1 species
AACGAACGCUGGCGGCAUGCCUAACACAUGCCAGUCGAACGAGACCUUCGGGUCUAGUGGCGCACGGGUGCGUAACGCGUGGGAACCUGCCCUUAGGUUCGGAAUAACUCCCCGAAAGGGGUGCUAAUACCGGAUGAUGUCUUCGGACCAAAGAUUUAUCGCCUUUGGAUGGGCCCGCGUUGGAUUAGCUAGUUGGUAGGGUAAAAGCCUACCAAGGCGACGAUCCAUAGCUGGUCUGAGAGGAUGAUCAGCCACACUGGGACUGAGACACGGCCCAGACUCCUACGGGAGGCAGCAGUGGGGAAUAUUGGACAAUGGGCGAAAGCCUGAUCCAGCAAUGCCGCGUGAGUGAUGAAGGCCUUAGGGUUGUAAAGCUCUUUUACCCGGGAUGAUAAUGACAGUACCGGGAGAAUAAGCUCCGGCUAACUCCGUG